AUUGAACGCUGGCGGCAGGCCUAACACAUGCAAGUCGAGCGGAUGACGGGAGCUUGCUCCUUGAUUCAGCGGCGGACGGGUGAGUAAUGCCUAGGAAUCUGCCUGGUAGUGGGGGACAACGUUUCGAAAGGAACGCUAAUACCGCAUAAGUCCUACGGGAGAAAGCAGGGGACCUUCGGGCCUUGCGCUAUCAGAUGAGCCUAGGUCGGAUUAGCUAGUUGGUGGGGUAAUGGCUCACCAAGGCGACGAUCCGUAACUAGUCUGAGUGGAUGAUCAGUCACACUGGAACUGAGACACGGUCCAGACUCCUACGGGAGGCAGCAGUGGGGAAUAUUGGACAAUGGGCGAAAGCCUGAUCCAGCCAUGCCGCGUGUGUGAAGAAGGUCUUCGGAUUGUAAAGCACUUUAAGUUGGGAGGAAGGGCAGUAAGCUAAUACCUUGCUGUUUUGACGUUACCGACAGAAUAAGCACCGGCUAACUCUGUGCCAGCCGCCGCCGUAAUAC
rnacentral:rRNA from 1 species